UUGACGGGGAGCACCACAACGGGUGGAGCUUGCGGUUUAAUUUGGAUUCAACGCCGGAAAUCUUACCGGGACCGACAGCAAUAUGAAGGCCAGGCUGAAGACUUUGCCGGAUUAGCUGAGAGGUGGUGCAUGGCCGUCGUCAGUUCGUACUGUGAAGCAUCCUGUUAAGUCAGGCAACGAGCGAGACCCACGCCCACAGUUGCCAGCGUACUCUCUGGAGUGACGGGUACACUGUGGGACCGCCGCUGCUAAAGCGGAGGAAGGAAUGGGCAACGGUAGGCCAGUAUGCCCCGAAUAUCCCGGGCUACACGCGAGCUACAAUGGUUGGUACAAUGGGUAUCUACCCCGAAAGGGGACGGGAAUCUCCUAAAACCAAUCUUAGUUCGGAUUGAGGGCUGCAACUCGCCCUCAUGAAGCUGGAAUCCGUAGUAAUCGCGUUUCAACAGAACGCGGUGAAUACGUCCCUGCUCCUU
rnacentral:rRNA from 1 species